GUGCUCACUUCAGCAGCACAUAUACUAAAAGCGGAAUAAUACAGAGAAGAUUAGCAUGGCCCCUGAGCAAGGAUGACACACAAAUUCACAAAAUGUUCCAUAUUUUU